GGUUAAGUGACCAAGCGUAUACGGUGGAUGCCUUGGCAGUCAGAGGCGAUGAAGGACGUAGUAACUUGCGAAAAGCGUUGGCGAGCUAGUAACAAGCAUUUGAGCUAACGAUGUCCGAAUGGGGAAACCCACUCACAUAAGUGAGUAUCUGCACAUGAAUACAUAGUGUGUAGAGGCAAACCCGGGGAACUGAAACAUCUAAGUACCCGGAGG
rnacentral:rRNA from 1 species